rnacentral:rRNA from 1 species
GGGUUAGUAGGUUGGUCAUGCCUCUGGUGUGUACUGGUCUCACUGAUUCCUCCUUCCUGAUGAGCCGUAAUGCCAUUAAUUUGGUGUUGCGGGGAAUUUGGACUGUUACUUUGAAAAAAUUAGAGUGUUAAAAGCAAGCUAACGCUUGAAUACAUUAGCAUGGAAUAAUGAAACAGGACGUUCGAUCCUAUUUUGUUGGUUUCUAGGACAACCGUA